CAGGAAUCUUCUAGCUUGGAUGGAGGAAGGAUCAAAGGGAAUGAGUAUAGAAGUAAUCCAUUCUGCUGAUUCCUGAAACAUGUCAAUGACCUGAUGCAUGGCCUCUACAGGAGUGCUUGGCCACCACACUCAGUUCCCAGUGACCUAUUCUGCCGCAUCCCAGGGAAAGGAGACAGCAGAACCACUCUUCCAUAAAUCCAUGACAGUGCGAAACCCUUGUCCUGAUUCAGAGUCAUGUAAAGUUGGUGAGUCAUAUACAGUUUCUUCCAUUUCUCUCUUGCUCAUUCUCCCUGUCACUCACUCAAACUCACACACGUGUGCAGUUGCAGAGAAGAGGAAGCGAUUUGCGGAUUACACCCAUUCCUAACAAUGUUUGUUGCAGGAGUGAUAAGACAGACACAACUUUUGAACAAGAUAAUAUUGCCUCUUUACUCAUACUUGAAUUGUUGCAUUUAGCGUUCUUUUUUAAAGACUGCAAGCUGUCCUCAAUUGGGGGAAAUUCUGUCCGGGACAACGUCCUCAGGAUUAUGGAGCAGUGUGUUUUAUAAAUAGUUGUUUGAAUAUUACAACGUGUAUUAGGAUUAAGCAAAUUGAUGACCGAUAUGAAGGGACAGAAGAGCAAACAUGCCUUUGCUACCACUUUUAGUAGAUUCUGACUGUUUAAGAUAUUUUACUUUGCAUUACUGUUCUGACGUGUCCUGCAGGCCCACAUUAUAUGGCGGCAGGUAGCCUAGUGGUUAGAGCAUUGGGCCAGUAACCGAAAGGUUACUAGAUUGAAUCCCCAAGCUGACAAGGUAAGAAUCUGUCGUUCUGCCCCUGAACAAGGCAGUUAACCCACUGUUCCUAGGCCGUCAUUGUAAAUAAGAAUUUGUUUUUAACUGACUUGCCUAGUUAAAUAAAGGUUAUUUAAAAAAUAAAAUUAUGCCAAUUGUUAAUUUAUUUUCUUGUAUUUUAAUGCUUAUAGUAAGUGUCAUGAAAAAGCCAGAAAAUUCAGGAGGUUGAUGUGUUGUGAGCCCUCUCGAAAGUCCUAAAAUAUGCCCCUGACCGCUGUGGUGGAGGACAACGCAAAGUUUGUACAUCAGCAAGUUUCUCUUUUUUUCUCUUUUUUUCAUCUCUAGGCUGUAACUGCCACAAAAUUAUUCAACUAGUACCAUGGAAAUCAUUUUAGCUAACUGAGUCCACAAAUAUUCUUCAAUUAAUGUCCUUUUCUAGUUUGCUUUUAAAAUCUCAAAUUGGUAAUGCACUGAUUCUCUUCACUGCAGAUCUGACCCAUCAAACGACUCUUCAAGAGGGUCACUACGCUCCAGAUCUCUUUCUGUGCUCAGCGGUACUUGAUGAGGAUCUACCCCAUCACACCACUCUAAUUAAUUAUUAAUCAAAUAAAACAAUGGGCCUUUGUAUA